rnacentral:hammerhead_ribozyme from 1 species
AUUCAUCUGACGAGUCGCAAAUAGGACGAAACGUGGGUCAUGGAU